GAAAGAAAGAAAAUCGCUGAGUGGAGGCUGGGAGGGGCCCCUUAAAGAAACGGUGCCAUCGCCUGGCAUUGUGGCCAGCGAAAGAACUCAAGGGGGGGAGGAAGAAAGCAUCGCUGCGCUUCCCUCCAUUCUCUGCACGCCACCCCCACCCACCCCCCCGGCUGGCCAGGAGGGGGGGGGUGAAAAUCGCACGGGUGGUGGUGGUGGUGUUUUUUUUUCUUGGAAAGCGUUUUAUAAAGCGGAUUGCAUUUGGGGAAAAAAAGAAAAAGAAAAAGGAGGCGAUAAUUUUUAAGGCACAAAGAAACUACAGUCGGGGAGGGGAAAGAAAAGACAGAGAGAGAAAAAAAAAAAAAAACAACCGGAGAUUUCGGGGGAGGCGGCUUUGCAGUCUUCAACCAGCGUCCAGGAUUUGCUAUCCAAGGCAAGCGCUCGCGCGCCGCCGAUUUCUUUCCGUGCUUGCCGCUGCUGAACUGGCCAUCUGCCUUCUUCUCUCCUUCCUUUGUGUCUGAAUUUUUUUUUUUUUGGUGGGGGGGGAAUUUCUUCUUUUCCUCCGCGUCCCCGCGCCGCCGGUUCGAGAGCGGAAAGGAAAGGAAGAGGAGGGCGCGAUCCCAUACAUUCAACCGGGACUAUGCCCAGUUCGUUGUUUGCGGACAUGGAGCGGCAUGGGGGCGGCGGCGGCGGAGGAGGAGGAGGAGGCGAGACCCUGGAUGACCAAAGAGCUCUUCAGAUCGCCUUGGAUCAACUCUCCCUCCUCGGCUUGGACAGCGACGAGGCGGGCUCCCUUUACGAGCCGCGCAAAAAGAGUGUGAACAUGACCGAAUGCGUCCCCGUGCCCAGCUCGGAACACGUCGCCGAGAUCGUGGGCAGGCAAGGUUGCAAAAUCAAAGCGCUGCGGGCCAAAACCAACACCUACAUCAAGACGCCGGUGCGGGGCGAGGAGCCGCUCUUCGUGGUCACGGGCAGGAAGGAAGAUGUGGCCAUGGCCCGGCGGGAGAUCAUCUCGGCGGCGGAACACUUCUCCAUGAUCCGCGCCUCCCGCAACAAAAACACCGUUUUGAACGGCUCGGUGCCCAGCCCGCCUAACCUGCCUGGCCAGACCACCAUCCAAGUGCGGGUGCCUUACCGGGUGGUCGGCUUGGUGGUGGGACCCAAAGGAGCCACGAUUAAGCGCAUCCAGCAGCAAACCCACACCUACAUCGUCACGCCCAGCCGGGACAAGGAGCCGGUUUUCGAAGUCACCGGCAUGCCGGAGAACGUGGACCGCGCCCGCGAGGAGAUCGAAGCCCACAUCGCCAUGAGGACCGGCGGCUUGAUCGAACUCAUAGACGAGAACGAUUUCCACGCCAACGGCACCGACGUGGGCUUCGAGCUGGGCGGAGGGGGCGCGGGCAGCCUCUGGAGCAAACCCACGCCGCCCCCUCCUCCUCCUCCUCCUCCCCCGCCCCCUCCUUCCUCCUCCUCUUCUUCCUCUGCUUCUUCUUCCUCCUCCUCCUCCUCCUCCUCCAGCAGCAUCACCCCGACGCCGGCCCGCAAGCCUUUCUGCAGCUACCGCAACGACAGCUCCAGUUCGCUGGGCAGCGCUUCCACCGACUCCUACUUCGGCGGCGGUAGCAACGGCCGCUUGGCCGAUUACAGCCCGCCUAGCCCAGCCGCUUUGGGCUUCCCGCCCAAUGGCGCCACAAGCAACGGCUACGGCGUCUACGGGACCCCCGCGGAAGGCCUGGCUUCGCCCGAUGGCUGCCCAGCUGAGCUGCCGUCUUUCGAUUCCCCGCCGGGCUUUGACCUGGCGCCGGCUCCUCCCGCGCAGCUGAUAUGGUCGCAGUACGAGCGCAGCACCAGCCUGGCAUCUCCCGCCGCCUUUCCCGGCUCAGCCACGGCUCCCACCGCCAACCUGGCCUUGUUUGUGAGUGGCGGGCAGAGGCGGGGAGUUCCGCAGGCUCCGCCUCCGACGCGCCUCUCCCCGCCCCUGCACUCCGGUGCGGGAGGCGGGUCGCUAGCAGCCACCGAGCAGCACCCUUUGGCACGUCGGGUGCGCAGCGAUCCGGGUGGCCGCUUCUUAGCUGCGGCCGUGGCUGCAGCCGCUGCCGCUUCCUGCUGCUCCUCGUCUUCCUCCUCCUCCUCUUCCUCCUCCUCUUGCUCUUACCCGCUCUACGCCAACGGGCUGGGCUGCCACUUGCCCGGCUUGCCCUCCGACUGCUCGCCUUCCUCUUCCUCUUCUUCUUCCGCCUCCAGUUCUUCCUCCAGCUCGUCCUGCUCCUCGUCCGGGCUGCGUCGGAAAGGCAGCCGCGACUGCUCGGUUUGCUUCGAGAGCGAGGUCAUCGCGGCCCUUGUGCCCUGCGGGCACAACCUCUUCUGCAUGGAGUGUGCCAACCGCAUCUGCGAGAAGAACGAGCCCCAGUGCCCCGUCUGCCACAGCGCCGUGACUCAAGCCAUCCGCAUCUUUUCCUAAAGGGUCCCACCGACAACCAACUCGGGAGCCCCUGUGAAUCGGUCGGUAUUUGAGCCGGAAAGGGCAGGAUCUCCAGGGGUCCUCGAAGAAUGGGGGCUUUAAAAAACAAAAAAAAGUGGAAGAAAGGUGAACCUGGCAAUUUUAAGGCUGCAUUCCUGUACGGGGGACUCUGGGCUGUGUGCAGCUUUUAAAUCCUGCCUUUAACUGAUCAAGAUCUGUGAAGUGGGCUUGGCUUUGUGAACUUUGCUACAACUGUGUGAGCGUCACACAGGCAGCCGUGUAAGGAGAAGACAUGUAUGACUUAUCGUCCAUAUACCUAGAGAUAGAUCUUUCUUUCAAAAUGUAAAAUCUGCCAGGUACUUUAAAUGCAGUUAGUUUGGUGUUGAGACAUUUUGUGAAUUUGUGUGAACAACACAGUUCUGAGCUGCAUAAACAGAGGGAUGGACUCAAGAUCACAUGAAGUGUUAAUACCACUUUAUAAUGCCUUGGUAAGGCCACACUUGGAAUACUGCAUUCAGUUUUGGUCGCCGCGAUGUAAAAAAGAUGUUGAGACUCUAGAAAGAGUUCAGAGAAGAGCAACCAAGAUGAUUAGGGGACUGAAGGCUAAAACAUAUGAAGAACGGUUGCAGGAACUGGGUAUGUCUAGUUUAAUGGAAAAAAAGGACUAGGGGAGACAUGAUAGCAGUGUUCCAGUAUCUCAGGGGCUGCUAAAGAAGAGGGAGUCAAGCUAUUCUCCAAAGCACCUGAGGUAGAACAAGAAGCAAUGGAUGGAAAUUAAUCGAGGAAAGAAGCAACUUAGAACUAAGGAGAAAUUUCCUGACAGUGAGAACAAUGAAUCAGUGGAACAACUUGCCUCCAGAGGUUGUGAAUGCUCCAACACUAGAAGUUUUUAAGAUGUUGGAUAACCAUUUGUCUGAAGUGGUGUAGGGUUUCCUGCCUAAGCAGGGGGUUUGACUAGAAGAUCUCCAAGGUCCCUUCCAACUCUGUUAUUCUAUUCUAUCAUUUUAAAGGCAUCAAUAAUGACAUUGCUUCCCUUUUCACACCUCAGCAAUCUGGUAAACCGGGUUGGGUUCAGAAACCAGCUUAAACUCAGCUCAGGGCCUUUGGUAGCUCCAACUCGGAAGCUGCAGGUUUGAAAACCUGCCCACGUUUUUUGGGAGCCCUUUAAAAAAAAAAAACUCUCCUCCCCAUCCCAAAACCAGAAAAGUGAAAGCUGAACUGUUGGGGCCAAUUAUGGAAGGGCUGGUCCUGUAGCAUGAUAAUCAGUUGCUUUGACUCUGUGUUUCGUCUCUGGACUUCUGAAAAUUGCCUUCUACUCUUUGUUCUUUUUUGACAGGAAAGGAAUUGGCUCCUUGCUUUUCUGAUUUUUUACAUAUAUUUGCUGGGUGAAACUCUGUUUGACAAGCAGCAAUUUGCUGAGAGGAUGCAUUCAGUAAGAUGACAGGCUGAGCUGUUUAUUUUUGUUCAUGUGAUGCGAGAUUAGGGCUUUGUACAAGAAGAGAAAGGAGACGCUUCCAUUGAUAGGAGUUUGUUGCCGCUUAACUUCUGCAGCUGAAAUCUGCAUACGUGUAACACUGUACCAUGGUAGCAAAAAUCAUAUCAUUCUUUGCAUUAAAAUUAAGCAAGUAAGUAACAGUAACAGGGUUGGAAGGGACCCUGGAGGUCGUCUAGGCCAGCCCCCUUGCUCAUGCAAGAGACCUAUGCUAGGGAUUCGAACCACCGAACUGCCAACCUUUCUGAUCGACAAGCUCAGCAUCUUAGCCGCUGAGCCACCUAGCCAGGUCAUUAAGGAUUAUUAACCAGGUCACGAAGUAUGCCUGGGUUCUAUAGCUGCCAUCUUAAAGGAGAUAUUUCUCUUUCGGUGAAGUAAGUUUAGGUGUGCUACUAUUUGUUUAUAUGUCAAGCAUUGAUCUUAAUACAGGUAGUCCUCAAACUUACAACUGUUCGUUUAGUGCAGGGGUCUCCAACUUUGGCAAUUUUAAGACUUGUAGACUUUAACUCCCAGAAUCCCUCAGCCAGCUUUGCUGAGUUCUGGGAGUUGAAGUCCACAAGUCUUAAAGUUGCCAAGGUUGGAGACCCCUGGUUUAGUGACCAUUCAAAAUUAUAACAGCACUUUAAAAAAAUGACUUAAAGGAGAGAUUUCCCUUUCGGUGAAGUAAGAUUAAGUGUGCUACUAUUUGUUUGUGUGUCAAGCAUUGUUCUCAACAUAGGUAGUCCUCAAACUUACAACAAUUUGUUUAGUGACCAUUCAAAGUUACAACAGCAGUUUAAAUAAAUGACUUAUGGCUGUGGUUUUUUUAGAUGACCGUUGCAGCAUCCGUUGCAGGUCAUGUGAUCAAAAUUUGAAUGCUUGGCAGCUGGUUCAUAUUUAUGAUGGUUGCUGUCUCCCGGGCAGUGGUGGGAUUCAAAUAAUUUAACAACCGGUUCUCUGCCCUAAUGAUUUCCUCCAACAACCAGUUCAGCAAACUGCUCAGAAAGUUAAUAACCGGUUCUCCCGAAGCGGUGAGAACUGGCUGAAUCCCACCACUGCUCCCGGGGUCACGUGAUCCCCUUUUGCAAACUUCUGAAAAGCAAAGCCAAUAGGGAAGCCAGAUUCACUUAACAACCGUGUUACUAAUUUAAUAACUGCAGCGAUUCACUUAACAAACGUGGCAAGAAAAGUCAUAAAACAGGAGCAAAACUCACUUUAAAACGUCUCUCUUAGCACCGUAAAUUUGGGGCUCAGUUGUGGUCAUAAGUUGAGGACUACCUGUAGCUUUUUUUUUAAAAAAAAACUAUCCCAUUUCACAGGGCCCUUUCUAAGACAAUUAAAAAAACGUCAUUGAUGAAUUGCUUGGCUUGUCCCUAGAGAAUGGAUGUUGUGAUAUCUGUUGAAUGUGUGACCAAAUGGGCCUUCCUUCCCAAAGAAUCCUGUCUUGAUUAGAAGAUGCCAACUUUCUCGUGGUCCAACCAACUUCUGAUCUUCCUGGAUUAGGUAGGAAGAUCUGAAGAGAUCUAAAUUUCUUUAGAUACUGGUCAAUGCUCCUAGACUCCUUACCAUGAACUGGAACUCUCUAAAUGAAGAAGGAUUAUUGCUGGUGAGUUACCGAAUAUCCACAGAGGCCUUUUCAGAUCACUCUACUCAAAAGUAGAAUGGUUGGGGAAAUUGCUAAUAGCACUUAGACUUACUUACUGCUUCGUAGUGGUUUGUAGCCCUCUCUAAGUGGUUUCCAGAGCAUAAUUGCCCCCAACAAUUUGGGUCCUCAUUUUAUUCUACUCAGAAGCAUGGAAGGCGGAGUCAACCUUGAGCCAGGGGUGAAAUCCAGCAGGUUCUGGUGAACUGGUAGCGGAAAUUUUGAGCAGUGCGGAGAACCGGCAAAUACCACCUCUGGCUGGCCCCAGAGUGGGGUGGGAAUGGGGAUUUUGUAAUACCCUUCCCCUGAAGUGGGGUGGGAAUGGGGAUUUUGCAGUAUCCUUCCCCCACCACGCCCACCAAGCCAGAAUCCGUUGUAAAAAAAUUUGGAUUUCUCCACUGCCUUGAGCCAGUCAGGAAUCAAACUUCUGCCAAUGUGAGCAGAGUUAGACUAAAAUACUGCAUUGUAACCACUGGGAAUGAAGGAAGGAAGGAAGGAAGGAAGGAAGGAAGGAAGGAAGGAAGGAAGGAAGGAAGGAAUAGUACAGACAUAUACUGCUUCACAGUGCUUUACAGCCUUCUGUAAGCGGUUUACAGAGUCAGCCUCUUGCCCCCAACAAUCUGGGUCCUCAUUUUACCCACUUCGGAAGGAUGGAAGGCUGAGUCAACCUUUGAGCCUGGUGAGAUUCGAUCUGCCAAAUUGCUGGCAGCCGGUGAUCAGCAGAAGUAGACUGCAGUACCGUCCUCUAACCACUUGUGCCACCAUGGCCUCAAAGCAUCCAAGAUUCUUGGGAAGACUGGCAUUUUUAUGUUGCUUCCUAUGUUGGGAUUUUCUUUUCACUUGAAGAGAGAUGAAAUGAAUGUUUGAGAAACGUUGGUUGAACGUUUGGUAAGUUGACCUUUACCAAACGUGUCUUCCACAACAGCCUUCGUUCAACUAGGUUGGUACCAAAUUCCCUGUCCUUUCUACACUCUACUGAAAGGGAGUGUACCAACUGGGGAUGAGGAGAAUUGUGGUCCUCUCACACCUGCAGGGUGCUUGGUGGGAAAAUUGUCACCAUUAGCCUUAGAAGUUAAUUUUGAUCGUCAAGCAAUUUAUCCAGGGUCUUGCUGCUGGACAGAUGGGGAAUAUAAUAUCUCCCAUCUCGGAAGCAAGACAAGGCUUAUCGCUGCUGGUUUCACAACCGCAAGGCCAAAAUUAACCACCUGACAGCUGAGAUUUUAAAAGCUUGAUUUUAAAAAUAGGUCUUUGCAGGUAAUGGGAGAACUGGCUACAAUCCACAAAGGAGGCAAGCUGUGGUCUAAGGCUCUCCGUGGUCUUUUAUGUGGUAUGGAAGUAGGCUAAAUUCAGAUCAUAACAUUUAAAUGGUUUUCUUUUUUCUCUUGGUGAGGAUCCCAUAAAUAGUUCUCGUUUGGAGCAAGCUUAAGAGUCCUAGACAAAAGGUUAGCCGUUCUUAAAUUAUCUGCCAGAGUUGGCCGUUUUAUGGUGGAACAAAACAAGUUUGCAGAGGUACCAAAUUGGUUUGCAAUUGGGAAGACCAAUGAACAUUGCCACAAAAUGGCUGACAGGGAGACCAUGCUAUGUAUAAAGCUAAAGGUUUCCCCUGUACGGUCAUAUCCGACUCUAGGGGGCGAUGCUCAGCUCCGUUUCUUAGCUGUGGGAACCAGUGUUAUCCAAAUACCCUUCUGUGAUCAUGUGGCUGGCAUUACCAUAUGCCAACGGACAUCGAAUACUGCUGCCUUCCCAUCGUAGUGGUACCUAUUUAUCUAUCCGCAUUUGCAUGCUUUUGAACUGCUAGGUGUUGUGGUCUGCAACAGCAACAGCAGCGGAGUUGGACAGUGAGGAGGCUGGGGAGGGCCAGUCCUGGACUCUGGGGAUGGUGCGGACGAGGGCUUUGCAUCGGAGGCAGAGAUGAGGCCGGGGCCAUCUGGGAGCAAUGUGCGGACUCCAGAGCCUCCAGUGGCGGACAGGAGAGAGGCAGAGGAACAGGAGGAGCCUGUUCCUAGUGCACACAUGCAAGAGCUGCCAGAAGGCAAGAGCAGCUAAAGCAAAAAGGACGACUCGGGAGUAAGGCCAGGUAUUGUCCAAAGACAUUUUCCAUGGUCGUUUGUGCAGCCUGGCUUUAUGCUGAGGAGCACGGAACACCGUUACCUGCCCACCAAAGUGGUACCUAUUUAUCUACUCGCAUGCUUUGGAACUGUUAGGUGGGCAGGACUUACCACUUAUUAUCAGGCUGCUGCUAAUAGUCAUAAGAUAUUAAAUGUAAAUAAUUACCUUCUUUUUUGUGUGUGCAUAAUUCUUGAGUCAGAGACAUGAAUGAUGCUAUUUAAAUAAACAUGAAUGCAUUAAUGAUGCAAGAAAUGAAUUUAUGCAAAUACUGUAAUGUUUCUGGAGCUCUCCAGCCAAGCUUCCUCAAGUACAAUUCUUACCGCUAUCUUUCGACAAUUCCAUCCUUAACCAAUUCCUGUUUCAGUAAUACCAAUGAGACUUGCUUCCGUUCUUAUUUUGCAGAAAGAAAAAAACAACUCGAGAAAGAAAGGAUUAUAAGAAAUGCAGAAUGACCAGAUCUAUAGCCCCAGUUCUGGUGCUGCAGGUAGGGAAGGGCAAUUGAAUAAGCAAAUCCCCUAAUCUUGAGUUAAAUGGGAACGGAGGCUGCAACAUGUGAAGGAGACUUCACACAUUGCAGCAUCCACAGGAGAAUCAGACCCAGGGGUGAAAUG